GCUAGCCUGGUCUGAGGGCCUGUCACGAUGCAAUUUGCAUGCAAAUUAGUUUGUGCGAGAAAGAGAAAAAUCUAUAGUCUACAUAUUGUUUUCCUCCAAGUCACCUCAUUUUCUGCACUCCUAUUGUGGUUCCGUCCACACAGUCUAAGGCUCGGAGAGCAUGAAGUGGAAAUGAUAAUAAGAAAAGACUGUCCUGGCAAAGCCCAGCGUCCUGGCAAAGCCCAGGCUGCAGAUUCCCGCCGCCCUCGCUGCCCCGCGCCCGGGUGCGGGGUCCACCGAGCAGCGCCAGGCGGACUCCAGCGCUACCGUCCCGCCCCACCGGCCUUGGGCAGCGCCCCCACCGCAGGCACGUCAGACGCCCUCUUUUUCCCUGAAAACUUUCUAGACGUGCUGACCUUGAACCAAGGUCCUUACACAUUCCAGACAAGUGUCCCAUCCUAAACUGUAUCCCCAGCCCUAGAAUGUAUGUCUGACUAAAUUGCUGCUUUAAAAAAAAAAAAAAAAAAAAAAAAAAG